UCCGGCUUCCGACCUUGUGUGGCGUCUCUCUGAACCCUCUCGACCGUCCGAGCUUCCGGACUUCUCCGACAAUUAGCUUCUCCAUUCAUCUAUCGGACCGCUCCAAAGGCUCUCUAGGCUUCACUAUCGGCCGACCUUCUACAGUGAUCAACUAUUCUCCGAAUCCCUUGCAGACUUCUUCCGGCCGCGGACGACCCUACUCCGAACUUCUUUCGGACUUCGUCAAUAUCCGAGUUUCUCCAACAACGAGAUUUCUACAGUAACCAGACUCCAUCCAAGUUUCUACGGCGGUCGACCGCCUUCCGGAUUCCAACCGAGCUUCUGCGAGAGCCAAACUUCUACUGCAAAUGGUCUACUCCGGAUCUUUACUGUAAGCGAAUUCCAUCCCAGCCUCUACUGUAAACGAAUUCCUUCCGAACUUCUAUUACAGACGGACUUCAGUCGAGCUUCUUCAUAGUCGGAUCCCAGCCGAGCUCCUACAAUGGACGGAUCCCAGACGAGCUUCUAAACGGGACAGGCCCCACCGGCCAGGUCACCACUCCGAGCUCCCAUGACAACCGAUCUUCGAUCGAGCUUCUACAAUAAGCGGUCUCCUUUCAGCCUUCUACAAGAAUCAAACUCCGUCCGAACUUCCAUAGCGGAUGAAUAUCGAACGAGCUUCUACAACGGACGGACUCCAGCAGCUGGAUUUCUACAACGGUCGAUCGCCUCCGGUGUCUGCCGAACCUCCCCAGCCAUCAGCCUUCAAUAGCGUCAGCCGGACUUCCAUAAUGCCAUCCAAACUUCCACAGGAUUUCCAGACUCCUCCAGCGGACGAACCUCCCCAACGCCAUCCGAAGUCUACCGCUGGCUGACCCUCCACCAGAUUCUUCAUGAGACCGGACUUCUCCGACAGAUAAUCUUCAGACGAGCUUCCACAUCAGGCAAAUCUCAGACGGACUUCUCUAGCAAGCGGACUCCUACCAAACUUCACCAACAGAAAGUCUCCAUCCGAGCUUCUAUAGCAGAUGACUCUUGCUUGUAGCAUCAGCGCCCGAGGCAUCCGACAAUAGUAGACUCGUCAGCAACCUCGAAAACAUCCGAGCUUCUCCUAGAUCGAUGGAAUAGAAAGCCAUUCCGCUCCAUCAGACAUUCCAGCCGAGCUCCAGACGACAGAUCCGAAC
rnacentral:lncRNA from 1 species